rnacentral:rRNA from 1 species
UGGGGAAUUUUGGACAAUGGGGGAAACCCUGAUCCAGCCAUCCCGCGUGUGCGAUGAAGGCCUUCGGGUUGUAAAGCACUUUUGGCAGGAAAGAAACGUCGCGGGUUAAUACCCCGCGAAACUGACGGUACCUGCAGAAUAAGCACCGGCUAACUACGUGCCAGCAGCCGCGGUAAUACGUAGGGUGCAAGCGUUAAUCGGAAUUACUGGGCGUAAAGCGUGCGCAGGCGGUUCGGAAAGAAAGAUGUGAAAUCCCAGAGCUUAACUUUGGAACUGCAUUUUUAACUACCGGGCUAGAGUGUGUCAGAGGGAGGUGGAAUUCCGCGUGUAGCAGUGAAAUGCGUAGAUAUGCGGAGGAACACCGAUGGCGAAGGCAGCCUCCUGGGAUAACACUGACGCUCAUGCACGAAAGCGUGGGGAGCAAACAGGAUUAGAUACCCUGGUAGUCCACGCCCUAAACGAUGUCAACUAGUUGUUGGGGAUUCAUUUCCUUAGUAACGUAGCUAACGCGUGAAGUUGACCGCCUGGGGAGUACGGUCGCAAGAUUAAAACUUAAAGGAAUUGACGGGG